rnacentral:rRNA from 1 species
UUCCUACGGGGGGCAGCAGUGGGGAAUAUUGCACAAUGGGGGAAACCCUGAUGCAGCGACGCCGCGUGAAGGAAGAAGUAUUUCGGUAUGUAAACUUCUAUCAGCAGGGAAGAAAAUGACGGUACCUGACUAAGAAGCCCCGGCUAACUACGUGCCAGCAGCCGCGGUAAUACGUAGGGGGCAAGCGUUAUCCGGAUUUACUGGGUGUAAAGGGAGCGUAGACGGUUAUGCAAGUCUGAAGUGAAAGCCCAAGGCUCAACGAUGGAACUGCUUUGGAAACUGUAAAACUGGAGUGCAG